UCAGCCUACCCUGAAAGAUACAGGCCU
rnacentral:piRNA from 1 species